AGCGCUCACCAUUCUGCAGAAUAAGGACCAGAACUUUACAGAGGUAAUCUGUGUCUGUUCUUUUUACUAUUACAGGUAACCUGCUGUUCCUGGCUGUGGUCAGCCAUUUUGGGGUGAAGCUGCACCGGCCCAGGCUGAUUGCUAUGGGCUGUUUCCUAACGGCUGUAGGAUCCUUCCUCACAGGCCUGCCACACUUCUUCAUGGGACGAGAAGGGAUUAAGAGAUGCAGAGAAGAGACCAGAAGAUGAAGCAGUGGUUCCAACCAGUGUCCACCCCUCAAGGGCCCACUUAACUGCCAAGAGCUCCCGGUUGCCUACAUCGUAGUUCCCUUCCGCUGGCGAGAACCGCUUGGAGAGUGUUGGGGAAUAAUCAGAAUUGGUUGGUAACAUAGAGGAAAUUUCCACGACAAGAGAAAGGCGCAUGGGUGCAGUUCCUUGUCCUCAUUCCCAUGUGAAAGGACCGCACCAGAUCCGGUGUCCGAGGCGUCCACCUCUACCACAAAGGCACGAGUAUGAUCAGGAUGAACGAGGAUGGGUCCGAAGGUGAAACGUCCCUUAAGCUCUAUGAAUGCCCUGUCAGCCUCGGGAUUCCUGCAAAAACCUGCUUGAGUGAGGUGGGAUAGGGCCGUAUGUGUUCCGGAAGGGUUUUUGGAGAAGAUCAGGAUGUCGUCGAGGUAAACAAAGGCGAACCGGUUCAACAUAUCCCUAAGAGUGUCAUUGAUCAAUGCUUGAAAGACUGCCAUUGAGUUCGAUAUUCUGAAGGACUAAAUACUCAGUCACCACUAGGGGUGUUAAAGACAGUUUUCCACUCAUCUCCCUCCCUGAUUCUCACCAGAUUUUAAGCGUUGCGGAGGUCCAGUUUGGUGAAGAAUUGGGCUCCUAGGGCCAACUCCAAGGCAGCGGACAUCGGGUAGGGGGGAACGAUUCUUGAUCGUAAUCCUUUUUAGCCCUCUGUAAUCGAUGCAAGGACUGAAGUUUGGGUCAGAGACAGAGAGACAAGGGAUGCAUUUAGACAGGCAGCCCAAUUAUGAUAUUUUUUCCACUAAUAGGUCUUUUGAACAAUCGCAUUAAGAUAUUUUCGCAUCAGCUGUUUUUCAGAGCAUAUCUGAUUGCUCAAAAUACAAAUUACUCAAAAAAAUUACUGAAUUGGGCUGCUUGUCUCAACGAAGCCAUAGAAACCUGGACAUGCUCCAGCUGAAAAGUUCCCUCCUGUCAGUACUGAUGUUGAAUGGCAUUAAAUACACUUUUUUUGUUCUCUCCCAUCCCCUGUAGUUUUGUUGAACAUGAGUGGAAAUGAAACUCCAGCACACUGGUAGCACUAAAGACGUCUGAGUAUAACUUUUCCAGGUGAGUUGAACCUGCCUGUGGGUGCGGUGGGGAUAUUCCUGGGAGGUCUACUGAUGAAGAGGUAUAAGCUUGGCGUUGUGUCUGGAGCCCAGUUGUCUUUCGUCACCCCCUUCAUGGCCUACCUCCUCCUCCUUCCGCUGUCUGGCACUAAGUGUGACAACGUUUAGGUGGCUGGUCUGACCGUGUCCUACAACGGGUCCACUGGUGUACGAUGGCAGCCUGUUGUCAGAGUGUAACAGAGACUGCUCCUGCUUGGCUGGGGAGUGGGACCCUGUGUGUUCAGACAACGGCAUCACCUACACCUCCCCCUGCCUUGCAGGCUGCUCCAGCCUUACAGGUUACUGCAAGAACACGGUACCAACACUAUUAAUGUACUGAGUGUACAACACAUUCACAGGAAUGCUGGCCCAUGUUGACUCCAAUGCUUUCCACAGUUGUGUCAAGUUGGCCGUAUGUCUUUUGAGUGGUGGACCAUUCGUGAUACACACAGGAAACUGUUGAGCGUAAAAAAAACAGCAGAGUUGCAGUUCUUGACACAAACUGGUACCCCUGGCAUGCCCCGUUGAAAGGCACGUAAAUAUUUUGUCUUGCCCAUUCACCCUCUGAAUGGCAUACAUACACAAUCCAUGUCUCAAUUGUCUCAAGGCUUACAAUUUUGUUUUAAACCUUUCUCCUCCUCUUUAUCUACACUGAUUUAAGUGGAUUUCACUAGUGACAUCCAUAAGGGAUUAUAGCUUUAAGCUGGAAUCACCUGGUCAGCAUAUGUCAUGGAAAGAGCAGGUGUUCUUAAUAUUUUAUCCACUCAGUGUAACUCAUUGACACUGAAAUAAGUUAUUUUCAACCAUUAACUGGGGCCUUGUUGAUGCCUUAUUUAGGGAAGUAAUUGCUGAUUGACAAUAAAGCAUUAUUUUGAUGUAUGGGAAAAAAUAUGGUAUCCGAUUCCUAUGUAGAGAAGGUUCUCUCUGGUUGUUCAAUAUGACUUCAACUUUUACAGGGCACUUUUUAAAAAUAUUUUUUUAUUUUGUUUAUUUUUUAUUAACAAAUAUCAUCAAACAAAAGAGGAAUAGUCACAUGCAACCAAGCAUACAAACAAUAUAUUUACAUUGCCAGGAAUCCUAAACAAACAAAUCAUAUUCGUUAAUAAUACAACAAGUUUUAAUUGCCUUUUUGUUUUUCGUUUUAGUUAAAGUGGUGCCAUAUUGUUUAAACUCAUUUAUAAAGUGAAAACAGUUAGGUUUUGAAUAUGAAACUUACCUAUUGUUAUUAGCAGGUGAAUUAAAUAUACU
ensembl:lncRNA